GCCGGGAUAGCUCAGAUGGUAGAGCGGCUGACUUGUAAUCAGCAGGUCACGAGUUCAAUUCUCGUUCCCGGCUCCA
rnacentral:tRNA from 1 species